rnacentral:rRNA from 1 species
GGGCACGACACCGGAGAGGGAGCCUGAGAAACGGCUACCACAUCCAAGGAUGGCAGCAGGCGCGCAAAUUACCCAAUCCCGACACGGGGAGGUAGUGACAAUAAAUAACAAUACGGGGUUCUUUAGGAUCUCGUAAUUGGAAUGAGUACAAUUUAAAUCUCUUAACGAGGAACAAUUGGAGGGCAAGUCUGGUGCCAGCAGCCGCGGUAAUUCCAGCUCCAAUAGCGUAUAUUAAAGUUGUUGCAGUUAAAAAGCUCGUAGUUGAAUUUCGGGGUUAGUAGGUUGGUCAUGCCUCUGGUAUGUACUGGUCUCACUGAUUCCUCCUUCCUUAUGAACCGUAAUGCCAUUAAUUUGGUGUUGCGGGGAAUUUGGACUGUUACUUUGAAAAAAUUAGAGUGUUUAAAGCAAGCUAACGCUUGAAUACAUUAGCAUGGAAUAAUGAAAUAGGACGUUCGAUCUUAUUUUGUUGGUUUCUAGGAUUGACGUAAUGAUUAAUAGGGAUAGUUGGGGGCAUUAGUGUUCAAUUGUCAGAGGUGAAAUUCUUGGAUUUAUUGAAGACUAACUACUGCGAAAGCAUUUGCCAAGGAUGUUUUCAUUAAUCAAGAACGAAAGUUAGGGGAUCGAAGACGAUCAGAUACCGUCGUAGUCUUAACCAUAAACUAUGCCGACUAGGGAUCGGAUGAUGUUAAUUUUUUAAUGACUCAUUCGGCGCCUUACGGGAAA